rnacentral:rRNA from 1 species
AUUGAACGCUGGCGGCAUGCCUUACACAUGCAAGUCGAACGGCAGCACGGGUGCUUGCACCUGGUGGCGAGUGGCGAGCGGGUGAGUAAUACAUCGGAACAUGUCCUGUAGUGGGGGAUAGCCCGGCGAAAGCCGGAUUAAUACCGCAUACGAUCCACGGAUGAAAGCGGGGGACCUUCGGGCCUCGCGCUAUAGGGUUGGCCGAUGGCUGAUUAGCUAGUUGGUGGGGUAAAGGCCUACCAAGGCGACGAUCAGUAGCUGGUCUGAGAGGACGACCAGCCACACUGGGACUGAGACACGGCCCAGACUCCUACGGGAGGCAGCAGUGGGGAAUUUUGGACAAUGGGCGAAAGCCUGAUCCAGCAAUGCCGCGUGUGUGAAGAAGGCCUUCGGGUUGUAAAGCACUUUUGUCCGGAAAGAAAUCCUUGACUCUAAUACAGUCGGGGGAUGACGGUACCGGAAGAAUAAGCACCGGCUAACUACGUG